GAUCUUCAGUCAUGUAACCCCUUUGGCCUUCUAAAGUGUUGGAAUUACAGGCAUGAGCCACUACUCCCGACCUGUUAUGUAAUAUUUUAAACACAUAAAAGCCCUUCUUUCUUGCAGGCGGUGCAGAAGCCGGCUACAGGCUGGGUGUGGCCCACCGCUCAUCGUUUACCACCACUGAGUCAUACCUUAGGUGGCAAAUGCUUGAGAUGGAACAUCGGUGAGACGGUGAGCUGGGGAUCCUAUGGUGUGGCCAUGGCCAGCUUUGAGGAAAAGGCUGGAGUGCCGUGGUGUGAUCUCAGCUCACUCCAACCUCUCUCAAAUUCAAGUGAUUCUCCUGCCUCAGCCUGCCAAGUUGCUGGGAUUACAAGCAUUCACCACCAUACCCGGCUAAUUUUUGUAUCUUUAGUAGAGAUGGGAUUUCACUGUAUUUUCCAGGCUCGUCUGAGAAUCCUGGGCUCCAGAGACUCGGUGCAGGGAUUACGGGCAUGAGCCACCGUGCCUGUCCUGUUUGAAUAGCAAGGUGGUGGGGCUGAUGCGACUGGGAGGUUCCAAGGCUAGGGGAUGAGAGGAGGACUCUGGCUUCUGCACUGACCUACGAAAGUUGUGAUCACCCAUUCACUUCAAAAGGCCCCUUUUGUCUCUGUGUUGAGAACACGGGGAUGGUGGAUAGAAAUGGGGAACCCAGUCUAGAGCAGGGGCCUGGGGACCAAAUAUCCUUUUCCCUCACAACCAUGAUGCCCACCAGGAACCGGGCUACAGGCUAGGGGUCCGCCCCUUCUUCCAUGCCGGUGGCCUUGCAGAGCAUCUGGAUUCUUGCUCUGCCUCUUCCUGGGAUGUCUCUGCAUCGGCUCUGUGUGCCUCAGUUUCCCCAGCUGUAGAAUAGGGACCGGACCCACAUCAUGGGGAAAAGGCUCCACGUAAUACAAGUUCCCGCUCCUGCCGCCUUGCGGUCAGAAUGUAGGCUGAGGAAGGGAAGAGCUCCCCGGGCGGGGCUGUGGCUUGGUUGAACAAUCACCUGCCUGGUUAUUCGCCUACCCGGUGAGUGGAAUCUCGUGGGGAUACCAAAAAAUGGAUUUAAAUGGCAGUGAGGGUGUCGAAGCCGCUUCCGGCCCCCAGCUGCAGGGCCUCUGGGCUCCCUAAAAGGUAAGCGAGUCCACCUGCCCGUCCCCCUCAGUGGCCCAUCAACAACAGAGCGUGCAAUAUUUCUCUUCUCACUCCAACCCCACAUGAGCCGAGAUCUCCCCGAUCAUUCAGAUCUCACAGGCUUGACCCUACUCUACAUAUUGAGAAAGUUCCAGUCCUCCCCUCAACUGUAGAAAUUGCCUAGACCUGUCGGUCAGGCACACUGGCUUAUGCCUGUAAUCUCAGCACUUUGGGCAGAUCACUUGAGGUCGGGAGUUCGAGACCAGUGUAGCCAACAUGGGGAAACACUGACUCUACUAAAAAUUUAAAAAUGAGCCAGGCAUGGCAGUGAGCGCAUGUAGUUCCA
rnacentral:lncRNA from 13 species